rnacentral:rRNA from 1 species
GAUGAACGCUGGCGGCGUGCCUAAUACAUGCAAGUCGAGCGAACGGACGAGAAGCUUGCUUCUCUGACGUUAGCGGCGGACGGGUGAGUAACACGUGGAUAACCUACCUAUAAGACUGGGAUAACUUCGGGAAACCGGAGCUAACACCGGAGGAUAUUUUGAACCGCAUGGUUCAAAAGUGAAAGACGGUGUUGCGGUCACUUAUAGAUGGAUCCGCGCUGCAUUAGCUAGUUGUUAAGGUAACGGCUUACCAAGGCAACGAUGCAUAGCCGACCUGAGAGGCUGGUCGGCCACCCUGGAGCUGAGACACGGUCCAGGCUCCUACGGUAGGCAGCAGUAGGGAAUCUUCCGCAAUGGGCGAAAGCCUGACGGAGCAACGCCGCGUGAGUGAUGAAGGUCUUCGGAUCGUAAAACUCUGUUAUUAGGGAAGAACAUAUGUGUAAGUAACUGUGCACAUCUUGACGGUACCUAAUCAGAAAGCCACGGCUAACUACGUG